rnacentral:misc_RNA from 1 species
CAAGAAGCCGAAAGGCUACUUAAAACCAUCGCGAACUUAUCCAAGUUGCUUCGGCGGCGCGGCUCCCCUCACGGGGGACCGCAGCCCCCGCCUCUCAGGAGGUAAGGGGCAGCCGCCGGAGGUACGAAACUCUGUAUUAUAGUGGUAUCUCUGUGUAUAAAACAAAUAAGUUA